GUGAGUCAUCGAAUCUUUGAACGCACAUUGCGCCCCUUGGUAUUCCGGGGGGCACAUCUGUUCGAGCGCCAUUUCAACCCUCAAGCAUAGCUUGGUGUUGGGUUAUGGUCUUAGGGGACCUACCCGUAACUUGUAGGCGGUCGCCGCCCGCACCCCCAGCGUAGCAAAGCUUCAUGCGUUCGCUCGGGGUUGGUGUGACACGGCAGCCCAAAAGAAACUAUUUUUUCAAGGUUUGGCCUCGGAUCAGAUGGGGAUACCCGCUGAACUUAAGCAUAUCAAUAAGCGGAGGA
rnacentral:misc_RNA from 1 species